GCCGUGUGAUCCGUGGACAGAGGAAGGGCGCCGGGUCUGUGUUCCGCGCGCACGUGAAGCACCGUAAAGGCGCUGCGCGCCUGCGCGCCGUGGAUUUCGCUGAGCGGCACGGCUACAUCAAGGGCAUCGUCAAGGACAUCAUCCACGACCCGGGCCGCGGCGCGCCCCUCGCCAAGGUGGUCUUCCGGGAUCCGUAUCGGUUAUCUCCUCAGCCAACAGAGCUGUGGUUGGUGUGGUGGCUGGAGGUGGCCGAAUUGACAAACCCAUCUUGAAGGCUGGCCGGGCGUACCACAAAUAUAAGGCAAAGAGGAACUGCUGGCCACGAGUACGGGGUGUGGCCAUGAAUCCUGUGGAGCAUCCUUUUGGAGGUGGCAACCACCAGCACAUCGGCAAGCCCUCCACCAUCCGCAGAGAUGCCCCUGCUGGCCGCAAAGUGGGUCUCAUUGCUGCCCGCCGGACUGGACGUCUCCGGGGAACCAAGACUGUGCAGGAGAAAGAGAACUAGUGCUGAGGGCCUCAAUAAAGUUUGUGUUUAUGCCA
rnacentral:lncRNA from 1 species